AGUAUCUUUGGGGAUCUUCAUUGUUUCAUUUAAAAAAACCAAUAGAAAUUCAAGGUUUUCUUUAUUAAUUCUGUACAAAGGCAUUUACAAAAAAUGAAAUUAGAAUGGAUUGGACUAUUAUUACCAAAGGUCAUUGUUCCUAUCUAGAAUUUUGUGUGUGUGUGUGUGUAGAACUACAGAGUUACGAAGAAAAUGAGACUAUCAAAAGACAGAGAGACUUAAUGUUUUCAUUCAUUCAAAAAGAUUUUUUUAUUAACUCCCUAUAAUGUUUCUUGCCCUUUCAAGUGCUUGGAGUAUAGCAGUGAAUGAGCUAAAGCUCACCAUCAGUGUUGAAGGCUCACAUCUAUUAAAGCCCAACUAUGGGAACAAAGUAGGGGAAUGCACCAGAGAAAAACACUAUGGGAUAGUAUGCAUGGACAGCUAAAGUGGCUUGGGUGAAUCCAUAGGGUGAUCAAAUUGUCCUGUUUGCUAGGGAUUUGCCCAGUUCUACCACUGAAAGUCCCAUAUCCCAGGAGCCCCCUUCAUUCUGGACAAGCAAAAUGGUUGGUCACACUAUGCACAUAACAAAAUGACAACACGUAUUUAUUAAAGGCCCAUUAUGAGCAAGGGCCAUAGAUAAACAUUGUGGUCUCCACACUAAGGGACCAUGAGCUCCAGAGGAAGUGAUGAGACACACGUUCAGGAAAAGAUAACCGCUCAUUCAGGCCAAACAAUACAUUCAGAGCACGCUCCCAGGUGGUGUUUGUACUGAGAAGGAGGAGAUGGGAUUUAAGCUGGACCUGGAGGACCAGGCAUAAUGACAAAAGUAGAGGAAAAGGAAAGAGGUAAAGGAAAGAGCACUAGCCCACUGUUUACUGCACAACUCUUAAACUCAACAAGUUCAACUUAUUAUGUCCACCCCUUCCUGUUCCUUUUGUCUCACUGUGUGGCGUCACUAUCCAUCUGUGGAGGAGAGAAACAACAUGAAGCCAUGGAAAUGGAAAGUACUGAUACAUAGAGGGGAGGUUAUAAGAUGUGUUGAUUCAAAAGGAAGUUCCUGGAGAGAGUGAUGGGACAGAGAACCGGAAAAGAUACAUUCAUGUACGUACUCAGCAAACAUUCAGUGCCUAUUAUUGGCUAUGUUUUGGUCUAGGAUCUAACUAUGGAAAGAAAAAAAAAUACUGUUUCCUCUCUUAGAGAGUCUGUAGGGGGAAGCAAGCAAAAAAAAAAAAAAAAACACUAUAGAGAGCAUACUAAAUACUAAAGACUGAAGGAGGAUGAAUGAGGAAUCUGUAUCUCCUGGGUGGGAAGCAAGAGAGUCUUCUAGAGAGAACCUCUCUAGAUUUGAGAAUUGAAGAAGCAGAAGGAGUUUGUUGGAAGAACAAAGAAAGGGUAAAUCAUUCAAGCAGUGUGGACAGAAUACUUCAGGACCCUGAGAGAAGGGGGCACAUCGGGAAGCUAAAAGGAGCUGGUCUGGACUUUCUGCAGUGGGCAGAAGGUAAGUCUUAAGAAAGGGCAGAGUGGAAAGGGCUGUGUGGGCAGCUUUUAGACUUUAUCCUCAAGUCAGUGGGGAUAUACUUAAGGGUUUUAAGUAAGAGAGUGGCACGAUCAAAUUUGCAGUCUAGAAAUAUGACACUGUUGGCAGUGGGGAGGAUGAACUGAUUACAGAAGGGAGACCAGUAGGACAGAAGAAGACUAAUGAGGCAUUGUAGGGAGCUACUCUGAAUGAUUCACGUCUCCCGCCCUGGAGUAGAGAGGCUUUUGACUGUCACUACUUCUCGUAGUGACCUAGACAUUGCUGCGGUCCAGAAGUUUGAGGAUGCGUCUUCAGAUGUAGGCGAUGGAUUGGGCUACAUUCACCUAUUCCUUUGUAAUCCUACCCCUUUGCCCUGUUUGGGAUACAAUGUUCCAUAGAAACGUCCUUUGUGUGUCCCUUCUCUUGCUGUGCUUUUGGGUGUGGCCUUCCUAGAUGUCAGUCAACCUGCUGACAGCAGACAUCACUAAGCUAGACUCAACUCCCUGAAAGCUGACCCCUUGCCUCAUUUGAAUGACUUCACCUCAAUAAAAGGGUUCAGCACGUGCUCACUCUCUUUCUGCGGACCCUUAAGGUCACAGGACCCCAAAGAAAAAGAUAUCUCUGUUUCUUGUGUCGUUAUUUUGUGCAGCCCAGUUCUCCUGGAGUGAUCC
rnacentral:lncRNA from 1 species